UUGAUCCUGGGCAGCAAUAUCUAGUUAGUUCAUUCCUUUUAUUAAACUGCACAAAUUUACUUGCCUAGUGCACAACUUGUGUGUCAAGUUGCUGUGGUGUAGUGGUUAUCACGUUAGUCUUACACACUAAAGGUCCCCAGUUCGAUCCUGGGCAGCAAUAUAUAGUAAGUUCAUUUAUUUUAUUCAUUAAAAUUAGUUGCAUUAAGUUUAUACUUAGAGCACAAAUUUACUUGCCUAGUGCACAACUUGUGUGUCAAGUUGCUGUGGUGUAGUGGUUAUCACGUUAAAAGGUCCUUAGUUUGAUCCUGGGCAGCAAUAUCUAGUUAGUUCAUUCCUUUUAUUAAACUGCACAAAUUUACUUGCCUAGUGCACAACUUGUAGUUUGAUCCUGGGCAGCAAUAUCUAGUUAGUUCAUUCCUUUUAUUAAACUGCACAAAUUUACUUGCCUAGUGCACAACUUGUGUGUCAAGUUGCUGUGGUGUAGUGGUUAUCACGUUAGUCUUACACACUAAAGGUCCUUAGUUUGAUCCUGGGCAGCAAUAUCUAGUUAGUUCAUUCCUUUUAUUAAACUGCACAAAUUUACUUGCCUAGUGCACAACUUGUGUGUCAAGUUGCUGUGGUGUAGUGGUUAUCACAUUAGUCUUACACACUAAAGGUCCCUAGUUCGAUCCUGGGCAGCAAUAUCUGGUUAUCACGUUAGUCUUACACACUAAAGGUCCCUAGUUCGAUCCUGGGCAGCAAUAUAUAGUAAGUUCAUUUAUUUUAUUUAUUAAAAUUAGCUGCAUGAAGUUUAUACUUAGAGCACAAAUUUAGUUGCCUAGUGCACAACUUGUGUGUCAAGUUGCUGUGGUGUAGUGGUUAUCACGUUAGUCUUACACACUAAAAGUCCCCAGUUCAAUCCUGGGCAGCAAUAUGGUAAGUUCAUUCCUCUUAUUUAUUAAUUAAACUAGUUCCAUUAAGUUUAUACUUAGAGCACAAAUUUACUUGACUAGUGCACAACUUAUGUGUCAAGUUGUUGUGGUGUAGUGGUUAUCACUUUAGUCUUACACGCUAAAGGUCCCUAGUUCGAUCCUGGGUAGCAAAUAUAGUAAGUUCAUUUAUUUUAUUUAUUAAAAUUAGUUGCAUGAAGUUUAUACUUAGAGCACAAAUUUACUUGCCUAGUGCACAACUUGUGUGUCAAGUUGCUGUGGUGUAGUGGUUAUCACGUUAGUCUUACACACUAAAGGUCCCCAGUUCGAUCCUGGGCAGCAAUAUAUAGUAAGUUCAUUUAUUUUAUUUAUUAAAAUUAGUUGCAUGAAGUUUAUACUUAGAGCACAAAUUUACUUGCCUAGUGCACAACUUGUGUGUCAAGUUGCUGUGGUGUAGUGGUUAUCACGUUAGUCUUACACACUAAAGGUCCCCAGUUCCGAUCCUGCGCAGCAUUAUAGUAAGUUUAUUACUUUUUAUUAAACUAGUUUCUUUAUGUUUAUACUUAGAGCACAAAUUUAGUUGCCUAGUGCACCACUUGUGUGUCAAGUUGCUGCGGUGUAGUGGUUAUCACGUUAGUUUUACACACUAAAGGUUCUUAGUUCAAUCCUGGGCAGCAAUAUAUAGUAAGUUCAUUUAUUUUAUUUAUUAAAAUUAGUUGCAUGAAGUUUAUACUUAGAGCACAAAUUUACUUGCCUAGUGCACAACUUGUGUGUCAAGUUGCUGUGGUGUAGUGGUUAUCACGUUAGUCUUACACACUAAAGGUCCCCAGUUCGAUCCUGGGCAGCAAUAUAGUAAGUUUAUUACUUUUUAUUAAACUAGUUUCUUUAUUAAGUUCAUUCCUUUUAUUUAUUAAACUAGUUGCAUUAAGUUUAUACUUAGAGCACAAUUUUACUUGCCUAGUGCAAAACUUGUGUGUGAAGUUGCUGUGAUGUAGUGGUUAUCACGUUAGUCUUACACACUAAAGGUCCUCAGUGGACUCGGAGGAUGCGGAUAAUCAUCAAGAACUGCUCAGCAUCCUUGAAAAUAUAAGAAAAGGCACCAAAGAUGAGCAAAUUUAGCCCCAUAUUUCAUAAGUAAGAAUCUCCUGAAGCAUCUCUUGAAGCACCGCAACAGCUUCUCAAACAACUGGGUUUUCUCCACAUGAAACGGGGACAAUUUCUUUUCAAGUAGACGGAGUAGAUUGAAGUAAAAUAAAAAUGGGAAGAGAUUGAAGUAUUCAGUUUACCGGGGCGUCACACCAGUUCCUCCAACAUAUUUUGUUGUCAUUUAUAUAUUUCUUAUUAUAAUUUUUAAAAGGUAAACCAAAACAUUUAAUUUAGAUUUUUCUAUGAUUCAGCCACUA